CGGUUAACUCCUCCUGCGGGUAGUCGAUAGAUUAGGGAUUCACCAUUCUCCACGCUGCCCGCCCCUCGCUUCCUAUCUGCGACACCAUCUUCCUCCCGUAGGCGCCGCGCUACCCCAUAGCCAGGUCCUUCAGAUCUAGCGGCGUUGAGCACAGGGCAAGCAGCGGCAGGAUCUGAUGGACGUUGCCGUCGUUUCCCUCGUAGCAACCCUUCUCCAAUCAACGCCCCCGUGCGAUUCCCUCCACCCUGCCGGACGCAUGCACCUCGCCUUUGAACACGACCAUGCCUGAGGUAUUACCCCUCCCCUCCUCUACAUGUGCAUAUGGAUUGGUGAAUGAAUUUCGGAAAUCACAUUUGUUGCCACAAUUUCUGCCUUCUGCGCGGUGGCCUGCGGAGACCCAAUCUAGCAUGACGACAGCCAUCCGUGAUGGCCUCCUCGUCUGCUAUGUCGCACUCUGAUAGCAACACGACGUUGUUCCCAUGCUCUUCAAGGUUACAUCCUUCCUCCCCUCCUCUGCUUGAUUUGUUUGAUUAGUACAAUAAUUUGCCUACCACCAAUCUGUUCGUGAAAAUACUCAGCACAGAUGGACGAGAUUUAAGACCUGCCCACCACAUGUUCGAUACAAUGCUUCUCUGAGUUAAAGUACGAGAACAUUGGACCGGAGACAUUCAGACAUUGUGGUGUUCUCCUUUCCAUACUACCAUUGUUAGUGAAGUAUAAGGAACCACUGUAAUUUUGGUGGAGCUUCAGUUUCAGAUGGGUCUGCAUGAAAAAAUGCCGAUGCUUAACAGAUCGAAGCUAUGGCUUGUAACAUUCUGCUUUGGGAAGAUGCCUUAUGUAAUGUAAAAUACAGGGAAAUGAUCAGAUGAUUGAUCAACACUUUAUGCACGGUUCAAAAGAUAGAGAUGCAGAUGGGUACCCGAAGAAGUCAGAUCUUGUUAAAUUAAAUAUGCUGUAUGGCUGAUGACAGCCGAAGAUCGACCAUGUUUUUUUUAUUGUUUUGGGGAAAAAGUAUGCAUUGUUUAGUGGAUGGUUUCAGCUCAGUCGGCUGAGCUACGAUAACAAGUGUAUCAAUAUAUGUACAAUGUAUGAUACUAAAUUGUUAAUAAAAAUUCUUUUGAGAGCUCUCAUGACAUGUGGGUUUGUUUUCUAUUAUUGUUUUCUUAGUCCAUGAGGAAUCUGAAGUCCAGAAAAUAACUAAAAUCUAUAUACUGUUUAUCUAAACAGUAUUGUGCUUGUUCUAGAUAGCAACAUAUAUAUGCGUUGGUGAAACAUUAAUAUAACCGUUGCUAGCUUGCAACACUUACUUGCACCUCUUACCAACACAUAUAUAUGCGUUGCAAUAGACCCUUGCAACGCCCCCUCCUGCAACGGAUACUACAUGUGUUGGUAUAGCCCGUACCAACGCAUAAUAGGGCUUCUAGUAACGCAUACAUUCGUUGCUAAAGGGGUGUUCUCCUU